rnacentral:rRNA from 1 species
CUGCUGCCUUCCGUAGGAGUUUGGACCGUGUCUCAGUUCCAAUGUGGGGGACCUUCCUCUCAGAACCCCUACGCAUCGUCGGCUUGGUGGGCCGUUGCCCCACCAACUACCUAAUGCGCCGCAUGCCCAUCCGUGACCGGAGUCGCCCCCUUUGGCCGGAAAGGGAUGUCCCUUCCCGGCGUCAUGCUGUAUUAGGCGGGAUUUCUCCCGGUUAUCCAUCUGUCACGGCCAGGUUGCAUACGUGUUACUCACCCGUGCGCCGGUCGCCGGG